GGGGCUGUGGGUCAGUGGUAGAGCACUCGCCUAGCCUGUGCGUGCCCUGGGUUCGAUCCUCAGCACCACA
rnacentral:tRNA from 1 species